rnacentral:rRNA from 1 species
AUGGAGGUGCAGGCCCAAGUACUUCGAAUCAUCAACAAGAAAUCCAAGAAAGAACAGCGAAGGAAAAACAUGACAAGAAAAGUGUUUUCUCGACUCGAGAUGUUAGAAGGUGCUAAAUCAAUAGGUGCCGGAGCUGCUACAAUUUCUUUAGACGGAGCUGCUGUCAGUAUUGGAAUCGUCCUCAGUUCUUUGAUUCAUUCCGUGGCGCGAAAUCCAUCAUUGGCUAAACAAUCAUUUGGUUAUCCCAUUUUGGGCUUUGCUCUCACUGAAGCUAUUGCAUUGUUUGCCCCAAUGAUGGCCUUUCUGAUCACAUUCAUUUUCCGAUCGCAUAAAAAGUCAUGA